GACGAACCGAGCGAACGUUGUUCGGAAUCACUGGGCUUAAAGGGCGCGUAGGCGGGUGCUCAAGUCCGUGGUGAAAUCCUCCGGCUCAACCGGAGAACUGCCUCGGAUACUGGGUGCCUCGAGGGUGGUAGGGGUAUGCGGAACUAUCGGUGGAGCGGUGAAAUGCGUAGAUAUCGGAAGGAACGCCGGUGGCGAAAGCGGCGGACUGGACCUCUUCUGACGCUGAGGCGCGAAAGCCAGGGGAGCAAACGGG
rnacentral:rRNA from 1 species